UGGGGAAUCUUGCGCAAUGGGCGAAAGCCUGACGCAGCCAUGCCGCGUGAAUGAUGAAGGUCUUAGGAUUGUAAAAUUCUUUCACCGGGGACGAUAAUGACGGUACCCGGAGAAGAAGCCCCGGCUAACUUCGUGCCAGCAGCCGCGGUAAUACGAAGGGGGCUAGCGUUGCUCGGAAUUACUGGGCGUAAAGGGCGCGUAGGCGGAUCGUUAAGUCAGAGGUGAAAUCCCGGAGCUCAACUUCGGAACUGCCUUUGAUACUGGCGAUCUUGAGUAUGAGAGAGGUAUGUGGAACUCCGAGUGUAGAGGUGAAAUUCGUAGAUAUUCGGAAGAACACCAGUGGCGAAGGCGACAUACUGGCUCAUUACUGACGCUGAGGCGCGAAAGCGUGGGGAGCAAACA
rnacentral:rRNA from 1 species